CCGAGCUGACAGCAGCCAUUUUCUACACCUCGUCUCUGGGAAGGUUUGGCUUACCUGAGGAAAUUCUGUCCUCUUACAUUCACAAGGUUAAAGCUUAACAAGGUUGUUGAGUGCCAUGUUUUAAAGGAUUCUGUGGCAUGUUCUAAGUCUCUGGACAUUCAUGGUGAAGACAUAUUGAGAGACCAGCACAGCACUGAAAUGGACAUUUAUGUCAUCAGAAGAGGGUGGAGCUCUUGGAGAAUAUGAAGACGAUGACGCUGAUGGAAACAUUAUUGUAGGAAACAUCAAAUCAGUUGCACCAGACUGCAGUAAUGCUUGGAGUAAUCUAUGCACUGAAUAUGGCUCAUCACAAUGGGUGGAAAUACUGCUAUGAAUUUGUACAUUCCUCAUGCCAAAGCAUGGUGCAAAAUUCUCCCCUAAUAUUCUUGGUUUGGAGAACAAAAUCUUGGGAUAGUCAAAGUAGGCUGUCUAUUCUGGAAAUAUAUGAAACUUUUCACACCAGCUUCUACUUUGAUUGAAAAGCAAUGGGCUUUUGAACAAAUCUUAAGUCACAUGAAACAAG